CCUACGGGAGGCAGCAGUGGGGAAUAUUGGACAAUGGGGGAAACCCUGAUCCAGCAACGCCGCGUGGAGGACGAAGGCUUUCGGGUCGUAAACUCCUGUCAGGUGGGAAGAAUCGGCAUCGGUUAAUACCCGGUGUCUUUGACGGUACCACCAGAGGAAGCCCCGGCUAACUCCGUGCCAGCAGCCGCGGUAAU
rnacentral:rRNA from 1 species